UAACCCGGAGAAAUUCGGACUAAUACCCCAAGCCGCCGGUUUUUUGCAUGAAAGGCCGGCGAAAGGGUAACCGGUUACAGGUGAUCAUGCGUUCCAUUAGCUGGUUGGCGGGGUAACGGCCCACCAAGGCGACGAUGGAUAGGGGUUCUGAGAGGAAGGUCCCCCACACUGGUACUGAGACACGGACCAGACUCCUACGGGAGGCAGCAGUGAGGAAUAUUGGUCAAUGGGCGGAAGCCUGAACCAGCCAAGUCGCGUGAAGGAAGACUGCCCUACGGGUUGUAAACUUCUUUUGUAUGGGAGUAAAAGAGUCCACGUGUGGGCUAUUGCAAGUACCAUACGAAUAAGCAUCGGCUAACUCCGUGCCAGCAGCCGCGGUAAUACGGAGGAUGCGAGCGUUAUCCGGAUUUAUUGGGUUUAAAGGGUGCGUAGGCGGCCCUAUAAGUCAGCGGUGAAAUGUUCCGGCUCAACCGGGAAACUGCCGUUGAAACUGUAGGGCUAGAGUCCACAAGAGGUAUGCGGAAUGCGUGGUGUAGCGGUGAAAUGCAUAGAUAUCACGCAGAACCCCGAUUGCGAAGGCAGCAUACUGGGGUGAAACAGACGCUGAAGCACGAAAGCGUGGGUAUCGAACAGGAUUAGAUACCCUGGUAGUCCACGCCGU
rnacentral:rRNA from 1 species